rnacentral:lncRNA from 1 species
AGAGUAAAACGUGACAUUUACUCCAAUUAUCGAUAUCUCUUGUUUUUUUUUUCAUUUUUUUUUUCAUUAAAACAGACUCUGUGAACCACACCGGGAGAUCCUGAUCCAUGUGAACGACGAAAGACGGUUGUUUCCUGACACUUCGUGCUAGACUAUCCGCCGUUGAAUUUUGCGUCCUUGGUACAUAGAUGAUCUCUCAGGUUCUUGAUAUCUUCUAAAUAAUUUGCAAAUGUUGGCCAUUCUUCUGGUUCUGAAACCAUCUUCACCAAUUGAGAACAAUCCGUUGUAAACGUAACAUGAAAUUGACGUAAAUUUUUCAUGCAUUCCAUUGCCCAUAAUAGAGCUUCCAUCUCCGCAUGCAGAGGAGCUAGACAAGCCCGUACAUUCCUCGCCCCC